CCUACGUGUGGCAGCAGUGGGGAAUAUUGGACAAUGGGCGAAAGCCUGAUCCAGCCAUGCCGCGUGUGUGAAGAAGGCCUUCGGGUUGUAAAGCACUUUCAGUGGGGAAGAAAGCCUUGGGGCUAAUACCCUCGAGGAAGGACAUCACCCACAGAAGAAGCACCGGCUAACUCCGUGCCAGCAGCCCGGUAAUACGGAGGGUGCGAGCGUUAAUCGGAAUUACUGGGCGUAAAGCGCGCGUAGGCGGUCUGAUAAGCCGGUUGUGAAAGCCCCGGGCUCAACCUGGGAACGGCAUCCGGAACUGUCAGGCUAGAGUGCAGGAGAGGAAGGUAGAAUUCCCGGUGUAGCGGUGAAAUGCGUAGAGAUCGGGAGGAAUACCAGUGGCGAAGGCGGCCUUCUGGACUGACACUGACGCUGAGGUGCGAAAGCGUGGGUAGCAAACAGGAUUAGAUACCCCAGUAGUC
rnacentral:rRNA from 1 species